rnacentral:lncRNA from 1 species
CCCCUUCACAGGGAAGAUGCGUGCAUUUAUCAGAUCAAAACCAACCCAGUCAGCCCCUCUCCGUCCCCGGCCGGGGGCGAUGACCCAUUCGAAUGUCUGCCCUAUCAACUUUCUAUGGUAGUCGCUGUGCCUAUCAUGGUGACCACGGGUGACAGGGAAUCAGGGUUCAAUUCUGGAGAAGGAGCCUGAGAAAUGGCUACCACAUUCAAGGAAGGCAGCAGACACUCAAAUUACCCACUCCUGACACGGGGAGGUAGUGACGAAAAAUAACAAUACAGGACUCUUUCUAGGCCCUGUAAUUGGAAUGAGUGCACUUUAAAUCUUUUAAUGAGGAUCAAUUGGAGGGCAAGUCUGGUGCCAGCAGCCGUGGUAAUUCCAGCUCCAAUAGCGUAUAUUAAAGUUGUUGCAGUUAAAAAGCUCGUAGUUGAAUCUUGGGAGCGGGUGGGCUAGCGAGCCACAGCCCGUCCCUGCUUCUUGCCUCUCGGUGCCCCCUGGAUGCUCUUAGCUGAGUGUCCUGUGGCCCGAAGCACUUACUUUG